UUUUUGAGAAAGCAAUCAUGCUGGGGGUCUGGCUCUCGAGAUUCGGGGAGCAGUGUCUCUUCGAUUUUUGAGAAAGUAAUCAUGUUGGGAGUCUAGCUCUCGAGAUUCGGAGGGCGGUGCCUCUUCGAUUUUGGAGCAAGCAAUCUUGUUGGGAGUGUUUUCUCGAAUGUGAGUAAAGGUUGGGCAUGUUUGCUAGUCUACCUUGCCACGAAGCACAGAGGUUGACACACAGGGACUUUCCAAUUAUCCAGCAAUGGUACUGUUCCUUUACCCUCUCUUCGAUUUUUAAGAAAGUAGUCAUGUUGGGAGUCUGGCUCUCGAGAUUCGGAGGACGGUGCCUCUUCGAUUUUGGAGCAAGCAAUCUUAUUGGGAGUGUUUUCUCGAAUGUGAGUAAAGGUUGGGCAUGUUUGCUAGUCUACCUUGCCACGAAGCACAGAGGUUGAC
rnacentral:lncRNA from 1 species